rnacentral:rRNA from 1 species
AGUAACGCGUGAGGAACCUGCCUCAAAGGGGGGGACAACAGUUGGAAACGACUGCUAAUACCGCAUAAGCCCACAGCUCGGCAUCGAGCAGAGGGAAAAGGAGUGAUCCGCUUUGAGAUGGCCUCGCGUCCGAUUAGCUAGUUGGUGAGGUAAUGGCCCACCAAGGCGACGAUCGGUAGCCGGACUGAGAGGUUGAACGGCCACAUUGGGACUGAGACACGGCCCAG